GUAAUGAAAAAGAAACUGGAAAUAAUUUACAGACAUGAAUUUGUGAAUUUAUAUCGGAGGAAAAUACAACCUUUUAUUUCAUAAUCACACAGAAAUAAUAAUUAAACGAUACUAAAAAGUUAACAAAUACAAGACGAUUACUUAUGGAAACUAUUUUCUAUUCAAACUGUUGAAUUUAAAAUGGAGACCCAUAGCAAGAUGUAACUGUGAAACCAAUAGUUUGUUAUAGAAACUUCGAGAACAUUUUUACGGCAAAAUAAUGGAUGAUGCGGACGGCGAUAAAUCUAAUGAGCGUAAAUCUGAUACAGAGGAUAUUGAGGGUGCCCAUAACAUUCCUUAUGUGAGCAUGAUACGUAGUCGCUUGAAGAGAGGCACGGACGGCGUUCCCUCUUACAUGAAUGUUUUGAAUAAUAUGGUUUCUGACGGACUAUUCUUUCCAGGUAUAAAAGUUCGUGCCAGUAAGAUAGAUUUGACCAAA
rnacentral:lncRNA from 1 species